rnacentral:lncRNA from 13 species
AGUGGUCAGGUUUUAUGAAGAGGCACUGCCUGAAACAGAUUCUCUCUCUAUAGCCAGAGUGGAACACCUGACAGAGGACCCACAGGAAGACCUGAUCCAGGCUGGAAACCAGAGAACUCAUUCCCAACAUCUGAGUUUAAUUAGGAUUGCUGCACAACAGAAGAGCAUCAGAGAAGCAAUGCAGAUGAAAUCCAUGACAUUCAAAGAACCUGAGCAUCAGGUUACUGAUCUUCAAACCUGCAACACAAUGCUUUCGAUAAAAACUAAGGUUAGUUGUUGAAUGCACGACAGGGUUAUUCAUGCAUCAGAUGGGUUGACUUAUACAGUAGGGAAAGGGGGAUACCUAGUCAGUUGUCCAACUGAAAUGUGUCUUCCGCAUUUAACCCAAACCCUCUGAUUCAGAGAGGUGCAGAGGACUGCCUUAAUCAACAACCACAGGGAACAGUGGGUUAACUGCCUUGCUCAGGAGCAGAACAACAUUGUUUUACCUUGUCAGCUCGGGGAUUUGAUCCAGCAACCUUCCGGUCACUGGCCAAACUCUCUAACCCCUUGGCUACCUGCUGCACCUUGUUAAAAUAAGUGUUUUGUGGAAAAACAAUAUUCUGUUCUCCAGUAGGUCCCCUUUACUAGCUCUGACCUUGCCGAUAUAUACUUUAUUGAGGACAAAUGUACUUACUAUUACUGAGAUGAAUGCACUAACUGUAAGUCGCUCUGAAUGAGAGUGUCUGCUAAAUGUCUAAAAUGUAAAAUGUCUCCCCUGAUUCUGUUUGUCCCUCCCUGCAUCAGGUUUACAGGAAGCAGA